UCUAAAGGAACUGCCUACGCAAGUAGUGAGGAAGGCGGGGAUGACGUCAAAUCAGCACGGCCCUUACGUCCAGGGCUACACACGUGCUACAAUGGCCGAUACAGAGGGCAGCUACCUGGUGACAGGAUGCAAAUCUCCAAAGUCGGUCUCAGUUCGGAUCGGAGUCUGCAACCCGACUCCGUGAAGUUGGAUUCGCUAGUAAUCGCGCAUCAGCCAUGGCGCGGUGAAUACGUUCCCGGGCCUU
rnacentral:rRNA from 1 species